GACCCACCUGACUCCAUCCCGAACUCAGAAGUGAAACGAAACAGCGUCGAUGGUAGUGUGGGGUCUCCCCAUGUGAGAGUAGAACAUCGCCAGGC
rnacentral:rRNA from 1 species